rnacentral:rRNA from 1 species
CCUACGGGAGGCAGCAGUAGGGAAUAUUGCUCAAUGGGGGAAACCCUGAAGCAGCAACGCCGCGUGGAGGAUGAAGGUUUUCGGAGUGUAAACUCCUUUUUUUAGAGAAGUUAAUGACGUUAUCUAACGAAUAAGCACCGGCUAACUCCGUGCCAGCAGCCGCGGUAAUACGGAGGGUGCAAGCGUUACUCGGAAUCACUGGGCGUAAAGAGCGCGUAGGCGGGAUAGCAAGUCAGAUGUGAAAUCCUAUGGCUUAACCAUAGAACUGCAUUUGAAACUGUUAUUCUAGAGUAUGGGAGAGGUAGGUGGAAUUCUUGGUGUAGGGGUAAAAUGCGGAGAGAUGAAGAGGAACACUCAUUGCGAAGGCGACCUGCUAGAACAUAACUGACGCUGAUGCGCGAAAGCGCGGGGAGCGAACAGGAUUAGAUACCCGAGUAGUC